GUAGGUGGCAAGCGUUGUCCGGAAUUAUUGGGCGUAAAGCGCGCGCAGGUGGUUCUUUAAGUCUGAUGUGAAAGACCCCCGGGCUCAACCGGGGAGGGUCAUUGGAAACUGGGGAACUUGAGUGCAGGAGAGGAAAGUGGAAUUCACGUGUAGCGGUGAAAUGCGUAGAUAUGUGGAGGAACACCAGUGGCGAAGGCGACUUUCUGGCCUGUAACUGACACUGAGGCGCGAAAGCGUGGGGAGCAAACAGGAUUAGAUACCCUGGUAGUCCACGCCGUAAACGAUGAGUGCUAAGUGUUGGGGGGGUUUCCGGCCCCUCAGUGCUGCAGCUAACGCAUUAAGCACUCCGCCUGGGGAGUACGGUCGCAAAGACUG
rnacentral:rRNA from 1 species